CCUCUAAGGCUAGAGCUAUAACCUACGUAGGUUAUACCUGUGCUAGUUCCAAAUUUCUGUUUUUAUUAUUUACUUAUUCUUAUUUUCUGAAGGAAAAGGAAAGGAAAAGAAGGCAUUUUGGAUUUUGGGAGGGAUCUCUCUGUAAGAAUUCCAGGAAUAAAUCUCUCCCCUUUCCUAUAUUUUUCUUGCCUUUUUGUAGGGGGGGGGGGGUCACACCUGGAAAUGCAUAGGGAUUACUCCUGGCUCUGCACUCAGGAAUCACUCCUGGCGGUGCCCAGGGGACCAUAUGGGAUGUUGGGAACUGAACUCCGGUCGGCCACAUGCAAGUGUUGCUCUGUGAUGAUAGCAUGACAUCUACUUCCUGUGUACUUUGAAGAGCAUUCAGCACACAGCCAGUUCUUUCUUGAUGCUCCACCCUUGGGCUUUGCCCGAAGAUCUCUGCUAGCUCUUGGAGGCACGGUUUACGUUGAGCAGUUUCCAGGGCUGAGAUCAUCCAGGAGGGAAGGUUUCCAUAUAUGACAGCUUUGCGGCUGUGUCCAGAAAUGUUCCCAAGCUCUUCGCCUGGUGCUGUCCAAGAAUCAGAUGGUGGCUGGAUUCCCACACAAAAGGGGCAAUGGAGCUUUGGUUUCAGAAAAGAGUAGGUAGUGUCCUUUUGUCCAAUUAUGUAAGCAGUACAUGGUUCUCUAGAAUAUUUGAGAAUUUUUUUUACAGUAUUUAGGUGGAAAAGAACGAUAUGCCAAAAUUUCAUUCACCUCUGGAUCAUAUUGUUUUUGUGUAUUUGUUUUUAUGCACACAUGGGUCUCCGUAUAUUUUAGGAAGGCAGUUCACAUUUCACUGUGGUUGGAUGUGGGUUUGGAAGUCUGAUACCACUCAUGUGGAGUUCUGUGACCUUCAGCAUCUUAUCCUUGUUCCUCCUUCCACAAUAAAGUUUGCUAAUUCUCA